UACGAAGGGGGCUAGCGUUGUUCGGAAUUACUGGGCGUAAAGCGCGUGUAGGCGGGGCUUUAAGUCAGGGGUGAAAUGCCAGGGCUCAACCUUGGAACUGCCUUUGAUACUGGGGACCUUGAGUCCGGGAGAGGUGAGUGGAAUUGCGAGUGUAGAGGUGAAAUUCGUAGAUAUUCGCAAGAACACCAGUGGCGAAGGCGGCGACCUGGUCCGAUACUGACGCUGAGGCGCGAAAGCGUGGGGAGCAAACAGG
rnacentral:rRNA from 1 species